rnacentral:lncRNA from 1 species
AGUACUUGAAAAUUAGUGAAUGAAAAUGAAAGGAGAGGUUUAACUUGGCAAGUUUAGAAUUGAUGUAAUGAUUUGACAGUAUGGAAUCAGAGCUUCAAUUGAACCAAUGAUUGAAUAUCAAUGAGUAUUUUCUUGAAUAUUUCUCCUGUUGGGCACUGCAUAAGAUAGGAAAGAAAGAGCAUAUAGUCGCUUUUGCCAAAGAAUUUAUCUGGUUAAAAUACUUGCUGGAGGAUGACCAUGGUAGUAGUUUAUAGCUUCUGCUAAUUUAAUCUGUGGGCAGAUGCUAAUAUGAAUGACUGGAGGAAUGAUUAUUUUUCCAUGCUUCCUUGUUGGUUUCAUCAUGACUAUGGUUUUUCUGGAGACUUGGGCUGUCUUCAGACUUCUCUUCUGGCCUCUGUGCAUUCUCUCCAUUUUAAUCACUAAUUGGUCCUUUCUGGCCUUUAUUACCUUCGCCUAAGAUGCUAGCUGCAUCCAGCUCAGCUGUCCCACUCUCCUCUAUGAGGCAUAGCUACAGGACUUCUUUGUCACGAUGCUUGGGUUUUAAGCAUGCUUACCACUUCCUCCUUGGAUUGAAGAUGAUUGGGAGGUUAGUGGAGAUAAGGAGAGACAGACAGAACAGGCUUUAAAUUCCCCCUGAAGGUAAGCACCUGCCUGGAAGGGGAGAAAACAAUUUUCCUUUGUGGCCAGCCAGGCAUGGGCUGUAGUGAUAAAGACAUUGGAAGAAUCUUGUUGAACCUGUUGUGCUGGUCGGGCAUGUGCUUAAGGUCCUUAAUUGUUAUUUCUUCCACUCAAAUCCUUUUCAAUUCUGUUUUUCCAGACAGGUUAACUCUUAACAUCUUCAUUGGAAUUGUUUUUGUUUUCAGGCUGAUUUCUAACUAAAGGUUAGUGUGAGGUAAGACGCAGACCAUACUUGAGAUUUUGACCAAGAAAUGGGAGGGACAAAGAUAAAUAUGUCACAGAGGGCAUCUGUGGAGUGUCUGUGGUGGGUGGAGUCUGGAGGAGAAGCAGGAGGAUGGAAGAGGGCAAGGGUGCUUACGAGAAGCUGUGGUAUCCUUGGAAGAGCACUGAACUUGAAGCCGGCAGACCUGCUUAGUCUGUUUUGCUACUGAUUAGCUGGGUGACCUUGAGCACAUCACAUCACUGAGACUCAGCUUUCACCUUGCUUCACUGAGAAGAAGCAUCCUACUUGAAAGGAUGGAGCUAUGGCUCGAAAUAAAAAUAUGAAAAAGUUUUAUAGGUAGGAGUACAUGAAGCCAUCAGAAGGUGUUAUACUAGCAAAGCAUAGAGUUGAUGGGCUCUGUAGCCAGACUGCCUGGAUAGAAAUUGUGCCUGGACCACUCAUCAGCAGCCUGACCUUGGGUAAGGCAUUCCAUUUCUUAGUCUGAAAAACGGGGAUGCUAAGUAUAUGUACUUCAUAAGACUGUGAGAAUUAAACAAAUUCAUAUACAUAAAAGCUCUUAAAACAACCCUAAAAGGUUGUAAGUGUUUAGCUCAAUAAAACUUCCGUGUGAUAAUGAUGAUGAUAACGCUUAGGAGGUUGUAGAUGGUGACAGUCAUUGAAGAGACACUGAGCAGUUAAGAGCAAAGACUCAGGAGCUGAGACUUGACUUCAAGUCCUGGUCCAUCCCCUGUUAGAGUAAACAAGAUGCUGCCUAGUCUCUGCAUUCCAUUUCCUCAUCCAUAAAAUGGGGAUCAUAUAACACCUACUGAACCAAAAUGCUUAGACGAUUACCAUAAUUUUUAUUUAGCUCACGCAUUGCUUGGCACAUGAAGUACCCAAUAUAUUUUGGCUAUUAGCAGUGAAAGGUCACUGAGCGAGGCCAGGGAUCAAACCCACAUCCUCAUGGGUACUAGUUGAAUUUAUUUCCACUGCACCACAGUGGGAACUCCCAGCUUCUGGGUCUUAACUUAGCACAUCUCAUAGCUGCUCCUACUCCUUGCAGGCUCUUCUAUCCUCUUCUUGUCCAUUUAGGUGACUAUUUUGAAUGUUUUCCACAUCCCAGUUUUAGGGAUCAGCACUUUACAAGGGGUGUCAUUUAAUCCUCCCAUCUGCACAACAACCAGGAUUUAUGAAUGAAAGGCACAAAAACACAGGGAGGUUUAGUUACUUUGUCCAAGGCCACAGGGAUAAGAAAGAGUAGAGCAGGGGGAGAAUCCUGGUCCCUGACACUCCUCAUCCUAAGGCCACAUUGCCAUUCAUCCCAUAUGUCUCCCAGGCUUGUGACCCUGUCAGGGCCUUUAAGCUGGCCUCUCCCGGCUCAAACUUCAGUAGUGGUGUUUUCCACUCAUUCCCUAGUAUGGCUUGCAGCCUCUUAGAGGAAGAAAAGCAAGACGUCUAGAGGUAAGCCUUGCCGAGAACCAAAGUAGGUGCUUGAGGUGACUAACGACUAAGACACUCAGGCAGGGAGAGGGAGGUUUACAGAACAAGAGUCAUUCUAUUAGAAGGCAGGAAUGCGUAGUUCUCAAAAGAGUUCCAGAAGCAGGCAGCCCUGAGACCUCAGUGACAUUGCGAAAGUGAAGUAUAUUGAGCCCCCAGCAUUUCAACUGUAUCAUGUGGAUUGUAAUACCUACCUAGCAAGUUGCUGUAGUCAUCGAAGAGUAUGAUAUGAAUAAAGUGCCUACGCCUCAUACUUCCAACAUUUAUGAGGCACAUAAAUGCAGAACAUGGUAAAUCAGGGUUAGUUUAUCUUGCUGCUGGAUGGUGUGUGAUACAAGAAAUAAAUCCAGACUUUGGCCUGAGUUUAGGUGUUAACACUCCCCCACCCCCCUGCCCCGAGGGGAAGCAUCGUAGAACUUGCAUGGCCCCCAGUUUUUUCUUUCUAGCCUCAGAGCCUCUCUUCAGGUUCAGUGAAAGACCUCUUGCACCCCUUCAGGAAUGUUUCCAGAAAUGCCAAUUACAGACCCUCUGAGGCUGAUCAAGGUGGCUUCCUGCGGGAUUCAGGCAUGCUUCAGAGCCUUGUGCAACACGAGGGGCAGGGAAAAGUGUCAGGAGCCAGGGCUCGCCUCAGCAUGGCCACCAACAGCUUCUGUGUCCUUGUGCCCCAAUUUCCCCAUCUAUGAAAUGGACGUUAAGAAACAUACACACACAUACACACACACUCACAUACAUCAUCACACCUUCCCAGAGCAAAAUUGCAAGCAGUUACCUCUCAGCAAACAUUUGCUGAGCACCUACUCUAUGCCAGGCACCGUGUUGGGCUCUAGAGAGCUGAACAUACCUGAGGCAUUCUCUGCACAGCAGACCCCACACUGCCCUUUGCUGGAGGGGAAGCUGCCGUGCCUGUGUGGUCACACCGGAAGUUCUGGCAGUUUGGCACAGUCCUUCAGCACACAGAAAAAUGCAUCUGUCUUAAACAUGGCAUGAAACCUCUCAGUCUCUCAGGUAACCUACCUGUAAAUGCCACCUCUCAGAGCUCCCAUGGAAAUUUGAGGAGAUAAUGUAUGUUUCACAGGAGCUAUAUUUUUAAAUGAUUAUGAAGUUUUUUUUCCUUUUAGCCUUUCAGAGUGUGAGGCUUCUCCUUGGCUGCAUGGGUCAUCUAUCUUGAGAGGUACUAGAAGGGGGUACGGGUGUGGGGAGGGAAAUUUUGCAGAAAAAAAAAUGCAAAGAAAGAGAAGAGGCAGUGAUCUUCAACCUCUGACAUUCAAAAUAGGAUUAUUCAGAAAAGUUUGACUUGCUUCAAGGAUGUUGCCUGAAUACUACUUAAGGGACCAUUUAAAUUAUUAUUAUUAUGCUCGGGAUAGAAUUGGAACAAGAAUUGUUAUUUUUGCUUCUUAAGCAGAGCAUUAAGCCUUGGAAAGAAGACCAGAUAAGUUGUAGACAAAUUGAAUAAGCUGUAUUUGCUCUGCACAUCUGGUUUGAAAACUGAAUUAAAUUUGUACCUCGCACAGUUUCUGGAACAUAGUAAAUAGUUACAAUUAUUAUGUUUCCUGUCUGAAUUUAUAAUAAUUACACUGGAAGUGUUCAAAGCCAAAAAUAGUGAUGCACAGUCCAAAAGUCAUUUAUAUUUAGCUUUUUCUGGUAACACAUAAGGAAAGGAGACCACAUUAAUCUGAGAGCUCAUUGCAGGCAGGUAGUGUACCUUAUUCACUGCUGUGUCUCUACCACCCAGCAGUGUCCUUAGAACAGAGUUGGCAUUCAAUACAUGAAAGAAUGAACAAAUUACUCCAUAUGUGGGCAUGCCACAGUCUAGUUUUGGAGAAGCCAAACUACCAACUUUCCCAGCUUACCAGGGAUGGUAUUUGGUGGUUAUAACCAAAAAAUCACAAGCCUUGGUGGGUGGUCUUACAUCGAUGAACCCAUUGUGUAACCCUGGCUAAGCUCUUUCACCACUCUGCACACCAGCUGCUCCUAUCUGCAAAAUGGAACAGAUUCUCUUCCAACCUCACCGGUCUGUUAUAAGAACCAAAUGAGGACAUUGUAUGUGAAAGCAAAAAGAAGGCUAGAAAUUAAAAAUACUUUAUUCACAAGGAAACUUAAGAUGAAGAGGCCACCUGUGGAACUCUGAGACUUGGCUGUUGUUUCAUUCCUGGGAGCACCAAGACGUUUUAAGAGAUUAUUUCAUUAUCCUUCCCUGCCUAUGAUUCAGAUAAGGUGCAGUCUUAAUAACACCUGUUUUUACUUUUAUUUUACAUAGAAUUGAGCCAUUAACCACCCCCCCCAGAGAAUCUAUGAAGUCACUUAGAGAAUAUGAUUGGCAAUCAUUUCUCUUAUUUUUAAUUAAGAUUUCAUUCUUAUUGAAAGUUCCAAAAUUUCUGGCCUCGCUGGGGUGAAAUGAAUUUUAUGACUUUAUGAGAAAGCCAAGCUUUUCUUCUUGUCAUUUCAUUCAAAAACAGAUGAGGCAAUUUGAACAAAUUCCAGUGCAGAUACUGGCCCAGAACUAACCAAAUCCAAACCUGGUCUGACAUCCUUGAAGCUUCUGCCUUCUCCCUGUCUGUGGUUAGCUACAUCUGAGGCCUUUGCCUGGGAAUAGGAAUGAGUAAUUACAGAAUUCAGAAAAUUUCACAAUGAAGCUUAGCAAAAGCAAUGGAAGAUCUCUAAAAAAAGCUCUCCUAAAGUCAAAAGGAUCAGUGUUAGUGAAUUAUUGAUGUGCACGCAUCCCCCUUUCUGCCCAGCUGGUUACCCAUCUCCCUGAGUCAAUGGUCUCUUCCAGUCAACAUUCUCCUCCCACCACGCCCACUAUGAGUCUUUCUCAAGCCAGCAGUUCUGAACGGAUCUGUUCUGCAAAAGAGUCAUUCAGCAAUACCACCAUAUUUUGUUGCAUGAAUUAUGAAUAUAUUUUUUGAUUUUCUUGAGUCCACGUGUUUCUGCUUCUGGAUUUCCUUUGGAGAAUCUGCCUGCCUUCCCUCAUGGUUCCCCUGGCUUGGAUGGGCCUGACUCCAGUCCUGGAUGUCUAAGUGGGCCUGAGACGAGGCCUCAGCAAACCUGCAUUUCUUUCCCUUUGGCUCAGGAUUCGGUUGAAGAACAAGCACAUGCCCCAGUUCAAACCUGUAAAAACUAGGCCCUCAUUAAAUUGUCGAGAAUAGAAGAAAGAAGCCUUCCGUUUUUUGCUGUCUUUGGAUCUGGCAGGUUUUAGGCCUCAAGCUGUCAUGCUGCCAUGCAGAUUUAAGAUUCAAGGCAGCACAGAAUGGGAAGAGAACAGGAAACAGAACCAAGAGCAGGAAGGAGACUGCGUUGUGGUGAUCUUUGAGCCUCUGGAUCUGCUCAGGCCCGAGGCUACGGUCUCCUCCUCUAUGUAAAGCAAUGAUUUUCUUUUUACACUGAGCCAGGCUGAGUUGAGUUUCCUGUGUAUUGUGAGAGGCUUUCCCAUUUUGUCAGCUAAAAUGCUGCAUUUCAGGAAACCUCUCAAUUCUGGGCAAAUUGGGACAGUUGGUUAUUCCACCCACUGCUAACAAAAGCGCCAAGGUGACGUAAAUUAUUUGUAUUUCCUUGCAGUUGAGGCAAUAUGACGGUACAGUGCUGUGCAUGGAUGGGGUAUUUCAGCUAAGGGCCGCGUGUGAUAUGGUGCAGAGUUUGGCCCAAUUUAAUGUAAGAGAUAAGAUGGUAGACCUACGUCGAAGAGCGCAGAGCAAAGUCGAGGCGUGAAAGAGAGACGGCCUCCUCACUGGAACCUCCAAGGACUCUGCCUGCGAUUAUCCACAGAGGACAGGGUCGGGCAGUAAAGCUUUCUGAUCAUUCGGCAGAAACUGAAGGGUUGACAGGAAUGCUAAUGCUGUCCUGUGAAUGUGUUCCCCUCACUGGGAGGCAUUUUUUCCUGUCCUAUGUUAUUGAAGUUACUGCUAACUUGUUUUAGUGUUCCU